rnacentral:rRNA from 1 species
CCUACGGGUGGCAGCAGUGGGGAAUAUUGGACAAUGGGGGGAACCCUGAUCCAGCCAUGCCGCGUGUGUGAAGAAGGCCCUCGGGUUGUAAAGCACUUUCAGUGAGGAAGAACGCCUGGUGGUUAAUACCCAUCAGGAAAGACAUCACUCACAGAAGAAGCACCGGCUAACUCCGUGCCAGCAGCCGCGGUAAUACGGAGGGUGCGAGCGUUAAUCGGAAUUACUGGGCGUAAAGCGCGCGUAGGUGGCUUGAUAAGCCGGUUGUGAAAGCCCCGGGCUCAACCUGGGAACGGCAUCCGGAACUGUCAAGCUAGAGUGCAGGAGAGGAAGGUAGAAUUCCCGGUGUAGCGGUGAAAUGCGUAGAGAUCGGGAGGAAUACCAGUGGCGAAGGCGGCCUUCUGGACUGACACUGACACUGAGGUGCGAAAGCAUGGGUAGCAAACAGGAUUAGAUACCCGAGUAGUC